rnacentral:rRNA from 1 species
UAGGGAAUCUUCGGCAAUGGGGGCAACCCUGACCGAGCAACGCCGCGUGAGUGAAGAAGGUUUUCGGAUCGUAAAGCUCUGUUGUAAGAGAAGAACGUGUGUGAGAGUGGAAAGUUCACACAGUGACGGUAACUUACCAGAAAGGGACGGCUAACUACGUGCCAGCAGCCGCGGUAAUACGUAGGUCCCGAGCGUUGUCCGGAUUUAUUGGGCGUAAAGCGAGCGCAGGCGGUUUAAUAAGUCUGAAGUUAAAGGCAGUGGCUUAACCAUUGUUCGCUUUGGAAACUGUUCAACUUGAGUGCAGAAGGGGAGGGUGGAAUUCCAUGUGUAGCGGUGAAAUGCGUAGAUAUAUGGAGGAGCACCGGUGGCGAGGGCGGCUCUCUGGUCUGUAACUGACGCUGAGGCUCGAAAGCGUGGGGAGCAAACAGG